rnacentral:rRNA from 1 species
AACGCGAAGAACCUUACCUACCCUUGACAUCCAGAGGAGACAGCAGAGAUGUUGUUGUGCCGAAAGGAACUCUGAGACAGGUGCUGCAUGGCUGUCGUCAGCUCGUGUUGUGAGAUGUUGGGUUAAGUCCCGUAACGAGCGCAACCCUUAUCCUUAGUUACCAGCACGUUAAGGUGGGAACUCUAAGGAGACUGCCGGUGAUGAACCGGAGGAAGGCGGGGACGACGUCAAGUCAUCAUGGCCUUUAUGGGUAGGGCUACACACGUGCUACAAUGGUCGGUACAGAGGGCAGCGAAAGCGCGAGCUGGAGCCAAUCCCGGAAAGCCGAUCGUAGUCCGGAUCGGAGUCUGCAACUCGACUCCGUGAAGUCGGAAUCGCUAGUAAUCGCGAAUCAGAAUGUCGCGGUGAAUACGUUCCCGGGCCUUGUACACACCGACAUA